GAACGCGCUGUAGUGGGAGCGCCCGACCGUUUACCCUCGUAGGGGAGGGGUCGCAGGCACGCGCAAGGCGAGUGGUGUGUUGGCGCCGCGUUUGUCAUGCUGAUGGCGGGCAACUUCAAGAAGGUGCGGCUUGCGAUGAAGCUUGCGGUGUACGCUGUGAUCGGCUACCUGACGUACCAGAGGUGCAUGCUGCACGCCGUGGGCGGCCCGUCGUGGGGGAUGGCGCGCGCGCUUGGCGUGCACGUCGUGGACUGCGCGGUGCUCGGCGCGUGGCUGUGGUACCUCCCGCUGUACUCGGGCAAGCCGUACCACACAGGGUCGCAGCGCAGCCUGCGCUUCACGGAGUUCGCGCGCAACUACCUGUUUGCCGACGCGGUGAAGUACUUCAACUUCCGCGUGAUUGUGGACGACCCCGCCGUGCAGAUGCGGGACGACACGUCGCAAUACCUGUUCUCCUUCCAUCCCCACGGCGUGUUCCCCGGCACGGCACUGUUUGCGUCUCUGACGGCGGAGUGGGCCCUCAAGGUCGGCGUCAACGCGCAGCGCUAUGUGUCGACGCAUGUCGCGAGCGUUGUUUUCAACGCGCCACUGCUGCGAGACUUCAACCUGCGUCUCGGUGCGCUGUCAGUGAGCCGGCGCUCUGUGGAGGCGAGCCUCAAGCGCGGCAACAGCGUCCUUAUCGUGACGGGUGGCCAGGCGGAGAUGCUGCGCACGCAGGUAAGCUCGGAGAGGAUGAUCCUGAUCACGCAGCACACGGGCUUUAUACGGCUGGCUAUCGCAUCACGGGUGCCGCUGGUGCCGCUGCUGUGCUUUGCGGAGAACAACGUGUUGGGGAUGCUGCAGUUUCCGCGCAUCCAGCGCCUCUCGCUCAAGCUCCUGGGCUUUCCGUUCCCGGUGAUUCCCCUUGGCCGAUUCGGUCUGCCUCUGCCGUUCCGCACGCCGCUGACGCUUGUGGUGGGGCCGCCGCUUGCUAUUCCCGAGGGUGCGGACGAGAACAACCCCGAUGACAUGCGGCGCGUGUCGGAGGCGUACUUCCAGUCGCUGAAGGACCUGUUCUACCGCCGCCGCGCGGAGGCCGGCUACCCUGGCAUGGAGCUCGUACUGCUGAACGAGAAGGAGGAGGCGCGGAAGCGCAGGCAGGCCCGCGAGGCCGCGGCGUCCACGGCGAAGAAGGCAGCGUAGAUGGUCUGUUGCUGCUUGCUGUGCGUGUGUGUGCUUGCUGCCCUCCCCCUUCCUCCGCUGCGCGUGGGCGAUCUCAUCUGCUUCGUGGCGGCAGCUGCUGGCGCGUCGCUGACUCUUCACGGAUUGGCUGCACUCUGCGUCGUGGCAUUGCAUCUUGAGGCAUGCGGGUGUUCGCAGCGCCUCGCUCCCAUCUUUCGCCCUCUCCGCACCCCUUCCCGUUUUCCCUCUUCCGAUAUCCGCGAACGCAGUGGUGGCGGUGGUGGGGUUAGCGGAGGAGGGCGUCGCGGAUUCGCAUCGACGCAGGCGCCGACUCGGCGAAGGGCUGCGGAGUGCGGAGGGAUGAGGGGGCGUGGGCGGGGGCAGCCAAACAGGGUCGCGGGAGACGUGGCAGCUGUUCUCCCUCCCUGUUGCCUCCCUCCCUCUUCGGCCUUCCUUACGCAACCGCAGCGAUGCUCAGGACCACUGCCGCUGUGCUCCCGUCCUGUAUAGGUGGUCCUCUCUUUGUUUAGUGCGAUCUGUGCGCGACGCCUGCCGUCCCCAGUGAUGCUCCUCCACGGACCUUGCUGCUUGUGUGUGGACGUGUGUUGUGUUACUGUUGCCGCUGGGAUUCGCAGUGAUGGCGGGAUCGCGUACAACUGUGCGGCUGCUGCUGUCCGCUGCUGUGGCCUGGCGUGUUUCUCACGAAUGCUCGCGUUGGGUGCAGGCUCGCUGUGCGCCCUCGCCUCUCUGCGUCUUUGCUUUCCUCCCUGACGCGUUCUUCGGUAUAAAAGCGCGUUACCGCGACAAGAACU
rnacentral:misc_RNA from 1 species